rnacentral:rRNA from 1 species
GACGAACGCUGGCGGCGUGCUUAACACAUGCAAGUCGAACGCUGAAGCCCUUUCGGGGGUGGAUGAGUGGCGAACGGGUGAGUAACGCGUGGGUAAUCUGCCCUGCACUCUGGGAUAAGCCUUGGAAACGGGGUCUAAUACCGGAUAGGACACAUCGCCGCAUGGGGUGUGUGUGGAAAGUUCCGGCGGUGCAGGUUGAGCCCGCGGCCUAUCAGCUUGUUGGUGGGGUGAUGGCCUACCAAGGCGACGACGGGUAGCCGGCCUGAGAGGGUGACCGGCCACACUGGGACUGAGACACGGCCCAGACUCCUACGGGAGGCAGCAGUGGGGAAUCUUGCGCAAUGGGCGAAAGCCUGACGCAGCAACGCCGCGUGGGGGAUGACGGCCUUCGGGUUGUAAACCUCUUUCGACCGGGACGAAGGGUGACUGACGGUACCGGCAGAAUAAGCACCGGCUAACUCUGUGCCAGCAGCCGCGGUAA